AUUUGUACUUUUUGGAGGAAAAAAAAAAGCAAUAAAUGAUAUGAAAAAAGGUUAUUGUUUGUGGAUUUUGAUAUCGUUUGGAAUGGUAAAGAUGAUGCUGCUAUGGCAUGCCUCCCAUGGAUA